GUAGUGUCUUUUACAAGUGGAAACUGUCGAAUGUGGGUAUUCGUUAUGAGAUAUAUGCUAGAAAUCAUGACUAAAUAGAAGAAUAUUAUCACAGAUGCGAUUGAUACGAGGAGCUCGUACUCGCAACUCGAAUUGGAUGAAGUAUGCGUGGAAUGGGCUGAAUAUUUAGGUCGCUAUAUCUGAUGGACUUCCUAUAAAUUUUGUGUAUGUGGCUACAUGGGAAUGUCCAAAACUUUUUUGGUGUAAAUAUUUUGUUCAGCCAUUAUAGGUUAUAUACUUCAAAGAAAUGUGUGGUGGAGGAUAGAAUUUUAGUCUUCUGAUUUUUGGAAUACAUAGCACAUAUAGAUUGGUCUUACAAUUUUGGAAUUAUCAUAUAUUGGGGUGGGUUGAUAGAGUAUAUACUGUUGUACGAUUGGUCUUGUAAAUUUUGGAAUCGUUCAUAUAGACAGUAAUAGAAGAAUGGAAUUGUUUAUUUUAGUA